UAACCAUACUGUGGAAUUGAUCGAUGAAAACUUUCACAAGCUCAUGUUCUAUUUCAUGGACCCGAAGACAGUCCCUAUCAUGGAGGUGUGUCGAAGAUAAAGGUAACUCUUCCAGAUGGUUAUCCUGCCCAACCUGCUACUAUCAAAUUCGUCAACAAGAUUUACCACCCAAAUGUUAUUGAAGGACUAUGUUGAGGCAUUUGCUAGACCAGAACAUGUUGGUGCUGCUCCUGAUCCAGUGAGGACAUCUAGCAACGCGGAGCCAAGUGAGAGAGGAAGUUCCUCAAGUGACUUUUUAGAACAUACUGUUACACUUGAUAUCAUCUAUGCUGACUUCAUUUCAAAUAUCUUAUUUGCUGCUGCUUUUUUUUUUUUUUUUCCUCUCUGGGCUAAGAUAUUGAAUUGGUAAAUGGGAACAAAUCAGGUUAGCUAUGCUUAAUGCAAACUGUAGCCAUGUACAUUUUACUUGCAUUACAAUGAGAUUUGUUCAAUGAUAUGCAUGUAUACACUAAUACAUAUAUAAAUACACACAUACAUA